rnacentral:lncRNA from 1 species
UUCAGAAAGACUAGCCAGGCUGCCAUUUGGAGAAUUGCAUACUCUGGUCUUGCUUAUGGAUCCCUUGCAUAUGUGGUGUCACCUUCCAUUAUUGAUAAGUGAUUGUGUCCACAAAUAAUGGAUGGUUAGUAAUUGGGGAUCAGUCAGUUCAUUUCAAGUGGCUAGGUGACAGUUUCAAGAUGUAGAAGUCUGAAGUUACAAUUUCAAAUUUGUAAUACUGGGUUUGAAAUGUCUCAGCAUGAUAGAAGAUGAUCCAAAAGAAGCUUCCCUUUUUACCAUGUAGGUUUUACACUAACUUGUCUUGCAAACAUUUACCAUGUAGAUAGGUGAGUUGGUAAUGUGUUCUUACUCGGUCUAUUUGCAGCGCUAAGCCAGUAGUACAAACUACAAACAAACUUGAGCUCCUCUGAGUGGUAACUAAAACUUUGGGUACCAAAACAUGCCUUUGAUGCCCUCCGGGUCAGCUUCAAAACCCAAAUUUUGAUAGAAAUCCACGACUGCAAUGACAAUGUAAGAAAACAAAGUCUAAGAACGAGAACGUCCAACACCACAAAGUGGUAGCACUAGAGCAGAUCUAGUUGUGGAAAAAGGAGACUACUGUAGAAUUUGUGGCAAAAGAUUUGUAUUGAGACCAUGAUAGUUAAUGAUUACUAUGACACAGACUCACACACGGAUUUCCCAUCUAUCUUCCCGUUUGUCAGGAAAGUGCUUCCUGAGUUUGUGCUUCCCAAACACAGGAAAGCAACCACUUUCCAUUCCUUUCUCCUAAAAUCCAUGAAACAAACAUCUAGGAAGAGUUCCAUAGAGACAAGUGGAUUAAGCAGGCAUUAACAACCUAUUUCUGUAUAUGCAUGUAAUUACCUUAUCACAGAGGGAUUGAAGAUCAUACACAUCAACAUCUCCACCAGAAGAAAAAAUUAUUUCUUCAACUGUUCCAUCUGGUUCAGUCUUUUCAAUGAGAACCAACUCUCCAGGAAGGGGUUCUUCUUCUUCUGCAAGUGUGGAUGGUGGUUCCACUACUUGUGUUGUGUUGUUGCUUAAGAUACUGCAAAAAGGAAGUGAAUUAAGGACCUUCAUAAAUUUAUUCCAUGUGAGAGGAGGGCUAGCAGGUGGCAAUUAGUGAUACACACACAUAUAGACUGAUGAAAUAAAAUGUAAAUCUUUUGCAUGAUACACUCUUGUCUUCAACUAUUACGAAGUUCAUAACUACAUGGUGGUCGAAGCAUUCGGAUUAUAAGAAAUAGUAUCAUUCAAGCAUGCCGUAAAUCGGAAUUAAACAUUUAUACACAAUCGUAAGUAACAAAGACCAGCAAAUCGUUUUCUCUCAUUCUAUUCGACAUUCUAUACUUAUAGUUGACUGACUAAGUGCUGAAACCAAAUAAUGUGUCAUUUUUCCCGACAUAAAGCACUAUUUGACCAGUUUUUGAAAACAAUCUCACCUGUGUGCUCGCUUCAAAAGCAUUACUGAGCAACUAAGCACCUAUAAGUUAUAACUUUCUAAUUUGAAGGGAAAUUCGUCUAAAUAGUAUCUCAACUUUUGCCCUUUAUAAACUUUGAUAUUUCAGGUUUCAAAAACAUCAAAAUGGUACCUCAAGUUUUCAUCUCGACUGAAUUUUGGUACUUUAUGCCGUUACCUCCGUUAUAAUGUAGGCUACCUGGUAAUUUUAGAGGGUAGUUUUGUCCUUUUAUGUCUUAUUAUUAUUAUUUUUUAACUGGUGGUUCUCUCUCUCGACUCCGCCUUUGCCUCCGUCUUCUCCGACGCCGUCUGGCUAGCUCCGGCCACCAUCCUUCACAAAACCACCACCAAUCUCUUCCUCUUCUUCUUCUUCUAUAUGAAACCCAGCCCUCAAACCUUAUAUGCAAGCCGGUUCGAAAGCUAAUCGACGGCAAGAAGCACCAGCUGUUCUCCGCCGACACACAAUGAUUCCGGCCACAAAUUGAGUCCCGAUGGGCAAGGUCUUCUCCGCUUUCCUUCUUCUUUCUUUAUGUGCUUUUAUUUCCUUCAAUCGAGUCUAAUUCGAAAAUCCCUCUUUUCUAUCUUUUCUGGAUUCCGAGUUCCUAACUUUGGCGGCAGUGUUCUUUGGGUUUUCCGGUGAGUCUAUCGAACUGUGGCAAGUCCUGCUUCAAGCUGGAGGAUUUCAGAAGAGGAUCGGGUUAGGUUUGGCCGUUUAGGUGCUUGUUUAUAGUAACACUUGGUUUUAAUGACGGCAAAAUCACAUACCAAAUACAUUGUGAACCCUUAAAUUUGCUCCGAUGAUUUCAAGCUCAACAUUAUCAAAACUCAAAUAGCUAGCAAAUUGGUAAACGAGGCAUGAUUUUCAGAUGAAAUAGAGAAUUAGGUCGAUCAAAUUCAGAGCUAGGUAUUGGAAAUUUGAGCUCACAUGGUGAAAUAAGAUGGGUGAUUUACGUAGGUAAGCUGGGUUUAUCUCGGCAAAGACCAAGAAUGAGAACCAGUACAACCAUGAGGCAACAAUUCUUGUUUCUUGAAAUAGAGGCAUUCAAAAUAGGAUCGGAGGUAUCAAAGCUUUGGUGUAUGUUUCGACAAUCGAGAAGGACGAUGAAGAAGAAUAGAAACGGUAGCUGGAGCAGUUGAAGAUGGAAGAAAAUCUUUUGGGUGCAAAGAUCAAAUUUGGACCCAUGAAGGUAAGAAAAAUGCAUUAAUAUAAUAAAAAGACAAAACUGCCCUUUAAAAAUUGUCAAGUGGCCUGCACCGUAAUAGAGGUAACGGCAUAAAGUACCAAAGUUCAGUCGAGGUGAAAACUUGAGGUACCAUUGUGAUGUUUUCGAAACUUGAAAUACCAAAGUUUAUAAAAAGUAAAAGUUGAGAUACCAUUCAGACGAGUUUCCCUAAUUUCAAUGGUGAAAUCACUAUCUUUGUUCAAUUGUUCUGUUAAACGAAUAAGAUUACAUACACUAUCUAUGUACCUCUCCCUAUUAUUUACCAUUUUGAUGACAAAAACCGAGAAAUUUUACACUGACGUAAAUGAACUCCUGAGGCUGUCAUCGAGGCAAGAUAGUAGGGACCACACCACUGUUUAGAUCACUUCCUUGUACACUGGAGGAGCACAUAUACGGGUCCCCAGUAAAAGUCGAAGAAGAAGUUGGUGAUUUUUCAUUGUAUGAGGAACCAGAUGGUGAGAAUAUUGUAUCAGCUCCCGGCAUAAUUUUGAUGAUGUUUUCAAGCUCCCUCACCACAUCUAACAUUGAUGGCCGGUCGUCUUGUUUUUCUUGGCAACAUCUGAGGGCCAAAGCUACAAACCUCUCGACACAUUCAGAUGGAUAUGAACCCAUUCUGGUAUCUAUAAUGGAGAACAUUAAGCCCGACUGAUGAGCCAUAUUCACCUAAGAAACAAGAGCUUGAUUAUUAUGUGUACUCUUAUUGCUAACGAAAUUAAAAGAAAUAAAAUUUCCGUUUUAGUCUUAUACCUCCCGAACAAUGUUUUUGCCAUGUGAUAUUGGCAGCACACCAGUCAAGAGCUCCAGAAACACAAUUCCAAGGCUAUACACAUCGCUUUUGUCUGUUAACUUACUGGUCAAGAAAUACUCUGGAUCCAGGUAGCCCUGCAAGUAUGAUCCCAAAGUGUUAUGAAAUUAACAAAUUCAGUUAAGAAGCAACUUUUUGUUAUGUUUCAAACUCUACAGCCACUCUUAUAAGCUGUACCAAACUAAACAUACCGGUGUUCCUCUCACAACUGUAGAUACGUAUCCAGGGCCAGUCCCUUCAUCAUCCUGGACAGGAGCAAGUCGUGAGAGUCCAAAAUCAGCCACCUUAGCAGUAUAGUUGGAGUCCAAAAGUAUGUUGGUGGCUUUAAUAUCUCGGUGAAAUAUAGGAGGAUUCGCCUCGGUAUGGAGAUAAAGAAUUCCUUUGGCUGAACCCAAUGCAAUACGUAACCUCAUACUGAAGUCCAGGCUUCCCUUGAUUUUAUCUGUGACUCGUAUGACAGUAAGUAAACAGAAUUAGCUAGAUGAAACUCUAGCCAAAAAGGCAUGGUAUGGGAGGAGCCAUUUAAAAAGAAAAAACUUCAAAUGUUGGAAAGUCCAUACCAGAAAGCCAGUCACGUAAGGUACCAUUAGGCAUGAACUCAUAAACCAACACCUGUGGGAGCAGCAACAACAUAAUUCAAUUAAUGACAUUUCUUGUGCUCCUAAUCCAUUGAAAAGCAUUGAAGCAUACCAGCAUGCCACAAUGCAUGCUUAAACUCCUUACAUUCAUGAAAUUAAAGAAUAUGCAAAAAAGAGUCACUAAGUAAAACAGCAAAGUAAAUCCAUUUAGGAGUUCAACUUCCAAUGAUAAAAUUCAGACUAAUUUUCCCCUGUUCAGAAUGAGAGGGAAGGAAGAUAUAUAUAUCUGUAAUGGACAAAGUGAAAACAAUAUGAGACUCUAGAUUUAUUCGCUUCUUCACCAAAAAUAUGUUAUAGAUUUAAAAAAAUAAGUCGCAUUUUUUUUUGUACGAAAAUAAGUUGCAAAAGUCGAGCAAUGGUUAAUUUUCUUUUUCAAGUUUCCCAAAAAAAAAAAAAAGUUUAAUUGUUGAAGACUGCAAGCUACAUACCUGCUCCUCUUCUUCUUCACAGUAUCCUACCAACGAGACUAAGUUUCGAUGGUGUAGCCUUGAUAACAAUUCUAUCUCAGUCAAGAAUUCUUUUUCACCCUGUAGGGAUCCUUCUUCUGCACGUUUUAUGGCUACAAUUGUGUUAUCAGAUAAGAUACCUUUGUAAACUUUCCCAUAACCUCCUCGUCCAAGUUGAGUUGAACUAUCAAAGUUCCUGGUGGCUAGCGUCAUUUCUUUGAAAGUGAAAGACUUUACACCUUCAAUUCUCAUAGAAAUCUUCGACGCUGAAAAGAGUGAUAGGGAAUUCAUACCACUUUCUAGGAUGAUAUUCAGACAUGGUAGUAUCUAAAUAUUCAGUACCAUUUAAUUACUAAUCACAACUUACAUGAGUGUCUCCUUGAAGGUGGUGGGUAUCUGUUUCUGCGGCAUCUUGUGAACAAUAGCAUGACUGUUGCAGAUACACUGACAACCGAAGCAAUGGCCCCUAUUAUAACAGCUGCUAAUACACCCUUACUGAUGACCAUCCUUUGUCUCUUAACAAUCACUAUAACAAUGAAUAUAAACUUUUAAUCAACCAAAGAAUAAGAAACCACCACUCAUUUUAAAACAAUAUCAAGAUUCAGAUGAGUUAUAAGAUGCAAUCAAAAUAACAGCCGUAAACAGAUAAUUGUCUACGAAGUACAAUGCUCAGCAUGCAAGGGUAUCAAAUGUUUCUAAGCAACAUAUAAAGACUGUCAACAAUUUUGAAAAGCAUGACAAGCCCACUAGCUGUCAGUGUCUGGUACAAAAUGAAAUGUUUAUGCAAUUACAAAUUCCGUGUGCUUUUUAAGUCAUGCAGGAGUUGGCAGAAAAGCAUAUAGCAAAAUACAGCAUCAUUUCAGAACUUAAACACAAAAUCACACGACUUCAAAAAGAUGUUCAGAAACUAAUCAAAAUAUACAUACUAUUUGAAUAAGGUCCCAGCAGAUUGAACUUGAGUAGCUCAUAAGGUCCAAAGAAAUCAUUUUGAGGAAAUAGCCAUGCUGUAAAGAUGCCUCUAAUCCGCAGAACCUCACUUUCGUUAAAUGUAUAUGAGUGUGAAGCACCAUACACAGGGAAGAACUUCAACUGCAUCCGUAAGCGAUGACCCUUUUCCCACACAAAGGAACUUAUUGAUAACUGAUAAAUCUCCAAUUUGAGAUAACUAGUUAAAUAUUCUUCAAACUGCUGUAUAUAUGGAGGAAAAUAAGAAAAGCUUGGGCUUUUGAGACGAUAUUCAAUUAUAAUAGGUGAUGCACAAUAGCAUGGCACCGGGGAAGAUGGAACAUAUUCAUAGAAAUCAUCCACUGGACAUGCUUGAAUAGGGCAGUUCAUCUGUUGAGUCGAAUUUAUUGAAUCUUCAGGGAUGCCAUCUCUCACUUCAGAUUGACAGAACGGGAUUAUAUUUUCUAUGCUAGCAUUCUUGCAAAUAGGAUUUCCUUCAAGCCUGAGAAAAGACAAGUAUUUGAACUUGUAGAAGUAAAACAAUGUACAGACAAACUUAUAAUUUACAUCAGACACAAGUAAUGGGAUGUUAACCAGAAUAUAACAUGAAAUAAAGCAUAUCAUUCCCCAUAAAAGCAGGGAACUAACAUUCUAGUUAUAGGCAGCUGAAUUGAAAAUAUACCAAAAGCACAGUUCAUACAAUAUAGUUCACAAAUAAAGAACUUGGUAUUGUGUCUAUAACAACUUAAACUACUCAGACUCUUAAUUUGCAUACGAUUCCAUCACACAUCACGGUUUCUAUGACUAAUCAAUCAAGCUGCAUAUCUAAAAGAGUUUCGCCAAUUAACUGAACUGAGAUAAAUAACUUGUCCAAGCUCAAGACAAUCUACAACAAAAUCAUUAAGAUCCAUGUACUCUUUUCUUGCUUGUUUUUAUAUAACUUCCAGAAGUAUAUGUUAUAAAUAACUCUGAAUUAAGGGGGUGUAUAGAAGUCGAUUCGUUUACAGGCAUACCUCAAGGUGACAUUUGCUGGAGGAUUCAGCUCUCCUAAUAUGUUAGAGAGUGAAUUAUUCCGGAGAUCACUGCAACAUUCAGCUAACAAAUAAAUAAGUUCAAUCUAAACAUAUGUUCUAAAUGCUGCAUUGAAAUUCUUUUUGAGAAUUUAAUUGGUAGGCACUCCAAGAAAUCAAAUAGACUUGAUUAAUUUAUGCUACGGUAUAAGGUAUUUACAAUGAAAGUCUAGCUCUUGAACUAAAAGAUAUGUUCCUCCACACAGCAGGGACAGAACCAUUCAACAAAUUAUUCUCGAGCGACCUGUCAUAUAAAUCAUAAGAACAUCAUAUCACUGUGGAUAGAAGGUUAAUAGCAUAUCAUCCAGCAUCAGACCAUAACGCUUGAAUAACAAAGAGUCAUAUAUAAAGAUAUUUUAAAUAUUAAAUGUGUCAUGUAUUCUAUAAUUGGAAAUCAAAAGUUCAUCAAAGUAAAUUUAUGCUCACAAUUUCUGAAGAUGAGGAAGAUUGGAGAAACUUUCAGGAAUAGAUCCGUUAAGAUGGUUUUCUGACAGAUCACUGCAAUAUACAGAAGAACAUGCUAACAGGAUAAGUUCUUAAUAGAUCUGAUUAGAGUAUUAAAAUAGUAAUAUAAUAACGUUCAUGGUUUUUUUUUUUUUUUAUUGAUAAUUAUGUUCAUGUUUCCAAUCAUUGAAAAUUAUGGAUCAAGAUAUACCAAUAGAACAAAUUACAAGUUUACGUGGGCCAUCUACGUACAUUGUUGUCAUAUUGUCAGAAAGUCUAUGUGAUGCUAUUGGUCCAGCAAGCUGAUUCCAGCUUAGAUCUCUGUGACAUGAACCCAGUAAAAGUUAGACAAUAUAGACAUCAGCAGGGAGUAAUAACUGGAUCAGUGUCAAGAAAGAUGUCUUUUAUAGAAAGAUGCUUAUCAAACCUUCAAAGUUAUUGAACUGUAUCUGUACUUACAGAUAACUGAGGUUAGGUAUCUGGCUAAGAUCAGGAAUUGUUCCCUGCAAACUGCAGUUUCUGAGACUUCUGCCAAAUUGAAAAGAGGAAUAAAAAAUGUAUAAGCAAUCUAUCCAAGAAAAUUUAUCCAACAUGGAUAAGCAGUAUCAGCCGUAUUAUAGCAAGAAAGGAUAUUAGACCAAACUUUUGCAAGUUUCGUAAUAAAAACAGCAAUCAUUUGUUUCUCUUGCAUCUCACUCAUAGUCCAUCAACUAUGCCCUUUAUCAUCCAAAAGUAGAGAAAAAAAGAAACAAGAAAAAACGAACACAAAACAGAAUAUACUUAUAAUUAAACUUACAACUUUGGAAUAUACUUAUAAUUAAACUUACAACUUUGCCAAUCCGGAAAGGUUUCCAUAGGUAGCUGGAAUCUCAGUUCCCAUGAAGUUGUUGUUAUCGAGUUGACUACAAAAAAGAUUUAGAAAAAGGUUAUAUUUAAGAAACAUCAACAAAGCAUUUCCAGUUAAGCUUUCCGAUCAAGGGAAGAUUCAGUAGGUUGAAAUCCUGAUCAAAACAUUGCUACAUACAGCUAUAGAGAUCACAUUGCCAACUAAGAUAAUGUAAAACAGUAAAAGGAAACAAGAGCCUGGUUGUUAAUCCAACUUAGCCACUGAGUGGAAUCAGGACAUACAGUAUGCGCAACCCUGAAAUGUUGGAGAAUUCUGGUGGAAGAUAUCCAGAUAAGUUAUUAUUAUCCAAGAGCCUGUAAGCGUUUGUGUCAAUUACACACCAGAAAUCAGUGAUCGACAAGUAUUAAUGCAGAACAAUAUCCCAAUAAGGCAAUGAAAUUAUAUGAUAUAUGUAAGAUGCUAUAAAAACUCACACAUGAAGAAGAGUGGGUAUUCCAGAAAUCUCAGAUGGAAUUUGGCCACUGAAGGAGUUGUUAUUCAAGUGGCUGCAAAAGGAACAUAGAAGCACCAUUUCACACUCUUGAAAUAUAAAAUACUAGCCAACUUGAAAACCCAUUGAGAUUGAAAAUGUACUUACAGGUGUUUUAAGCUGCGCAAGUUAACAAAUGAUUUUGGUACUGGACCAGAAAGAUGGUUCUCGUCAACUUGUAGUCUAUUUAGAUUUUCAAGAUAACCAAGCUCAUCAGGCAAGGAACCUGAUAGUCUGUUUCCAUUCAAGAGCCUGCAAACAAUGUAUGAUAACUAAUGAGAGUUUGUACCUAUUCACAGAAAUCUAUAUUCAUGGACCUAAGAUCAACAUCCAGCAAUUCACAACCUUUUCAGGAUGGCAAUAGAGUUGUACAACAUAUCAUUUCUUAAACACAGUAUUGAACUUUCAAAGGUUACAUAUAUAUAAUGUGAUCUUGGCUUUACCAUUUCAUAUCAACCACACAAGUCUCAAUCAGUAUAUGAAGAAAAUAUAAGAGGAAUCAGACGGGGAUAUUACGAAGAUGCAUGAAAAUAAAUUGAAAAUAGAACAUGCAUGAACUCAACUUACAAGAGUUUCAAGGACAUAAUGUUUCCUAUCUCCUUCGGUAUAGUCCCACUUAAGUCAUUCCACAUGAAAUCUCUUUCAGAAAGGCAAAAAAAAAAAAAGAAACAAAGAUUGAAAGGUUAGCAAUAUGACUGAAAAGAUAAGCAGGAAGAAUCAACUAAACAAUGUGAUCACUGAUCAAACGAGAUGACAUGACUCACAAUAUCAGAAGUUGAGAUAGUUUGCCAAGCUCUGGUGCUAAGCUUCCUGAGAGAUUCAUACUCAGCAGUUGCCUGCAUCAAAUUUAAACUACCUAGUUAGCCUAACUCAAUUCCUAAGAACAAGUAAUUACGUACCAACAUCCAGCUAGAUUAACAAAACCAAUUUAUUAACAACACUAAAUUGAACAAGUCCACAACAAGUUACUGAAACAAGAAUACAUACAGCUCCCGGACAUGCAAGUAUCCAUCAGUCCCAACAUCACCGAAACACAAAACUCCGGUCCAAUUCGCUAUACAUGGAUCCCCUUUGUCCCCAAUUCCUCAAAUGCUUCAUGGGAUCAAUCAAACUACCCUUCACUGCCCUCAAUGCAUCAACUGCAAAUGCGCACACAACUCAUAAUCCAAUUCCCACCAUAACUAACCCAAAAAUCCUAUGUAACAGUAAACCAAUUGGGUUAAACUCCAAUUGGGUUUAGCAAACAUGUAUCAAAACUCACCUUCAGAAGGAUUUGUAACUUGUGCCACUGCAACUAGGAAGAACCAAGAACAAGCCAGAGCAAUGAGACAACCCCAAAAUUUCAACCUCAACAUUCUAACAAUCCAAAACAAGCAAUUCUCAGCAACAGAAUCAAUCAACAAACUCAAAAAACACAUAAAAGCUUGAAACUUUAUAAAGAUUUCAAAAGCAAAACGAUACCUUUCGGUUAAAGAUUUGAACUUUGAGACUUGUUGGGUGAAUUUGUGCAGAAAAUCAAAUGAUACUUAGGAUGACAAAGGGUUGUGGUACUUGGUCGUUGUCAACUCGUCAUGAUGAUGACCCUUCAUUAUAGCCUCUGAGACUAACUGUGGAGUUGGCUAUCGUCAUGGUUUGGUUGGUUGGUAGAUUUUACAGAUUAUAUAUAUCUAAUUAUUUUAAUCUGGGGAGUAAAAACUGAAAAGAUAAGUACUUGAUGAGAAACUUGGAGUCUCCUACUUCUGUGUUGUCUCUUUCCAGACUCUUCAGCUUUUCUAUCUUCUCGGCUUGAGAGUUAGUGGGAGUGUGAUAGUGAAACCUGGGGGGAGCGGGUGGACUUUUCUUUGACCAUUUCGAUUGUUCCAAACCCGCCUUUUUUUAAAGUGUUUUUGGGGGUGGGGAGACCAAUUGGAUAUUUGUUCUUUGGUUAUAAAACUCGUCUGGUUUUCUAAAAGGAGAAAAAUACCCACGUUUACUUGAAUUUUAUGCCUCCAAGUGAUUCCCUUUCACACUAUCUAACAAAAUUUAGAUCUAGAUUUUGGGUUUGGUUAAGCUUUUUCUUUGUGGGAUUGGAUUGUUUAAUCUUUGAGUGUGAGCAUUAUUGAUCAGGAUACUGGGAAUAUAUGUCAAGGUGCAUAUGCUUGUACUUUUGGGCAUAUUUUGUCAAUGUUUUUAAGUGGAGAUUAAAGUUUGACACAUACAAUGACGUUGAUAUUGUUCUCAAGUUUAGACUUUAGAUACUAGACUAGACUAAAAAGGUUUCUAGAAUUUUGUUUUUUUCUACAAGACAGCUACUUUUGUUUGUGUAAGUUAAGUUAAAUACAAUGAACAAAUUUAAGAAUUAAAUCGAAAAUUAAAUCUCGAAACAUGUUUUCUAGCAUUUGUUCAAAUGUCUCCUAUGUAAUUAUUUUGAAGUACAUCAAAAAUAUUUUUCUUUUGAGACAAUUGUCUUUAUCAUGUUCGUUGAAUUUGCAUCAUACCGUGAUCACAUUCCUCUCAAAUUCGAGUUUGUGACAUCUAGGAGAGCGUAUUCAGCGCAUCCGGGUGCGCCGCGCACCCGUCUAUCUCCGCCGCGCACCCGUCCAUCUCCGCCGUCCAUUUGACACGGACUUUUGACUUUUUCAAAAUGGACGGCGGAGAUGGACAGGUGCGCGGUGCACCCGGGUGCGCUAUAUAAUUUUCGGACAUCUAGAUCUACGUUUUUGUUCAGUAGAAAGUCGCAUAAGAUGGCUCCACAUUCACUGAUCACCAAGUCAAGACAAAAUGCAGCCCCUUCAUGAUAACUUCGAAAUUUGCCAGUGCCUUCAAUCCUUGGAUAACACAAUAGCUCAUGUCACUCCUGCUAUUCACAUUGAUCUGAUCGUUUCAUGAAGACUCGAAUCCGAAUUGUGCAGUAAAGGACAUUCAGAUGACCUAAGAACUAUCUGGAGAUUCUGAUCUGAUCAACCCCAAACACUUCAGUGGAUUAAAAUAGUUGUACACAGCUCAGAUCCUCAGAUUGUGUAGGGUUUGGUGAGGUUGAUCCUUUUGAAGUUUAAAGAAUAUCUGGAAACCGGAAUCGUCAAAUGAGAGAUGUCAUUUUCUCUCUUUGUCCAUAAAGCCAAAAAAUAAAUAUUCUAUAUUUUUAAGGGUAUCGAUCUCAGUUUUUCAUGUGGAUCAUAUAAUUUCAGAAAGACAAGCCAGGCUGCCAUUGGGAGAAUUGCAUACUCUGGUCUUGCAUAUGGAUCCCUUGCAUAUGUGGUGUCACCUUCCAUUAUUGAUAAGUGAUUGUGUCCACAAAUAAAGGAUGGUUAGUAAUGGGGAUCAGUCAGUUCAUUUCAAGUGGCUAGGUGACAGUUUCAAGAUGUAGAAGUCACAAUUUCAAAUUUGUAAUACUGGGUUUGAAAUGUCUCAGGAUGAUGGAAGAUGAUCCAAAAGAAGCUGCCCUUUUUACCACGUAGGUUUUACACCAACUUGUCUUGCAAACAUUUACCAUGUAGAUAGGUGAGUUGGUAAUGUGUUCUUACUCAGUCUAUUUGCAGCGCUAAGCCAGUAGUACAAACUACAAACCAAAUUAAGCUCCUCUGAGUGGUAACUAAAACUUUGGGUACCAAAACAUGCCUUUGAUGCCCUCCGGGUCAGCUUCAAAACCCAAAUUUUGAUAGAAAUCCACGACU